rnacentral:rRNA from 1 species
UACGUAGGGGGCAAGCGUUGUCCGGAAUCAUUGGGCGUAAAGAGCGUGUAGGCGGUUCGGUAAGUCGGCUGUGAAAGUCCAGGGCUCAACCCUGGGAUGCCGGUCGAUACUGCCGGACUAGAGUUCGGAAGAGGCGAGUGGAAUUCCCGGUGUAGCGGUGAAAUGCGCAGAUAUCGGGAGGAACACCUAUGGCGAAGGCAGCUCGCUGGGACGUUACUGACGCUGAGAACGCGGAAAGCGUGGGGAGCGAACAGG